CAGUCGCCGCGGGAAUACGGAGGGGGCUAGCGUUGCUCGGAAUGACUGGGCGUAAAGGGCGCGUAGGCGGCGGCCAAAGUCAGGCGUGAAAUUCCUGGGCUCAACCUGGGGGCUGCGUUUGAUACUUGGUUGCUUGAGUGGGGAAGAGGGUCGUGGAAUUCCCAGUGUAGAGGUGAAAUUCGUAGAUAUUGCGAAGAACACCGGUGGCGAAGGCGGCGACCUGGUCCUUUACUGACGCUGAGGCGCGAAAGCGUGGGGAGCAAACAGGAUUAGAUACCCGUGUAGUCCCUGUCUCUUAUAC
rnacentral:rRNA from 1 species